rnacentral:SRP_RNA from 1 species
GCCAGGCGUGGGGGCUCAUGCCUGUAAUCCCAACAUCUUGGGAGGCUGAGACAGGAGGAUUGCUUGAGCCCAGGAUUUCAAGACCAGCCUGGGCAACAUAGUGAGAUCCUGUAUCUA